AUUGAACACUGGCGGCAGGCCUAACACAUGCAAGUCGAGCGGGGUUUUCGGACCUAGCGGCGGACGGGUGAGUAAUGCGUAGGAAGCUACCCGAUAGAGGGGGAUACCAGUUGGAAACGACUGUUAAUACCGCAUAAUGUCUACGGACCAAAGUGUGGGACCUUCGGGCCACAUGCUAGCGGAUGCGCCUACGUGGGAUUAGCUAGUUGGUGAGGUAAUGGCUCACCAAGGCGACGAUCCCUAGCUGGUUUGAGAGGAUGAUCAGCCACACUGGAACUGAGACACGGUCCAGACUCCUGCGGGAGGCAGCAGUGGGGAAUAUUGGACAAGGGGCGCAAGCCUGAUCCAGCCAUGCCGCGUGUGUGAAGAAGGCCUUCGGGUUGUAAAGCACUUUCAGUAGGGAGGAAGCGUUGUGUGUUAAUAGUACACAGCGUUGACGUUACCUACAGAAGAAGCACCGGCUAACUCUGUGCCAGCCGCCGCCGUAAGAC
rnacentral:rRNA from 1 species